GUAAAAUCUGGGCAAGGUGGACUGUGUCAACCAGUGGAUUCUGGAGAGGUUUUAUUGUGGUUGGAGUGGUGAGACUUGCAGUAAUUCAGAACUGAUGAACUAUCAAAAACCACUUGAGCAGCACCCUCAGAGCAUG